AUUGAACGCUGGCGGCAGGCCUAACACAUGCAAGUCGAGCGGAUGAAGGGAGCUUGCUCCUGGAUUCAGCGGCGGACGGGUGAGUAAUGCCUAGGAAUCUGCCUGGUAGUGGGGGAUAACGUCCGGAAACGGGCGCUAAUACCGCAUACGUCCUGAGGGAGAAAGUGGGGGAUCUUCGGACCUCACGCUAUCAGAUGAGCCUAGGUCGGAUUAGCUAGUUGGUGGGGUAAAGGCCUACCAAGGCGACGAUCCGUAACUGGUCUGAGAGGAUGAUCAGUCACACUGGAAAUGAGACACGGUACAGACUCCUAAGGGAGGCAGCAGUGGGGAAUAUUGGACAAUGGGCGAAAGCCUGAUCCAGCCAUGCCGAGUGUGUGAAGAAGGUAUUCGGAUUGUAAAGCACGUUAAGUUGGGAGGAAGGGCAGUAAGUUAAUACCUUGCUGUUUUGACGUUACCAACAGAAUAAGCACCGGCUAACUUAGUG
rnacentral:rRNA from 1 species